rnacentral:rRNA from 1 species
GGUUAAGCGACUAAGCGUACACGGUGGAUGCCCUGGCAGUCAGAGGCGAUGAAGGACGUGCUAAUCUGCGAUAAGCGUCGGUGAGGUGAUAUGAACCGUUAUAACCGGCGAUUUCCGAAUGGGGAAACCCAGUGUGUUUCGACACACUAUCAUUAACUGAAUCCAUAGGUUAAUGAGGCGAACCGGGGGAACUGAAACAUCUAAGUACCCCGAGGAAAAGAAAUCAACCGAGAUUCCCCCAGUAGCGGCGAGCGAACGGGGAGGAGCCCAGAGCCUGAAUCAGUGUGUGUGUUAGUGGAAGCGUCUGGAAAGGCGCGCGAUACAGGGUGACAGCCCCGUACACAAAAAUGCACAUAUUGUGAGCUCGAUGAGUAGGGCGGGACACGUGGUAUCCUGUCUGAAUAUGGGGGGACCAUCCUCCAAGGCUAAAUACUCCUGACUGACCGAUAGUGAACCAGUACCGUGAGGGAAAGGCGAAAAGAACCCCGGCGAGGGGAGUGAAAAAGAACCUGAAACCGUGUACGUACAAGCAGUGGGAGCCUCUUAAUGGGGUGACUGCGUACCUUUUGUAUAAUGGGUCAGCGACUUAUAUUCUGUAGCAAGGUUAACCGAAUAGGGGAGCCGAAGGGAAACCGAGUCUUAACUGGGCGUUAAGUUGCAGGGUAUAGACCCGAAACCCGGUGAUCUAGCCAUGGGCAGGUUGAAGGUUGGGUAACACUAACUGGAGGACCGAACCGACUAAUGUUGAAAAAUUAGCGGAUGACUUGUGGCUGGGGGUGAAAGGCCAAUCAAACCGGGAGAUAGCUGGUUCUCCCCGAAAGCUAUUUAGGUAGCGCCUCGUGAAUUCAUCUCCGGGGGUAGAGCACUGUUUCGGCAAGGGGGUCAUCCCGACUUACCAACCCGAUGCAAACUGCGAAUACCGGAGAAUGUUAUCACGGGAGACACACGGCGGGUGCUAACGUCCGUCGUGAAGAGGGAAACAACCCAGACCGCCAGCUAAGGUCCCAAAGUCAUGGUUAAGUGGGAAACGAUGUGGGAAGGCCCAGACAGCCAGGAUGUUGGCUUAGAAGCAGCCAUCAUUUAAAGAAAGCGUAAUAGCUCACUGGUCGAGUCGGCCUGCGCGGAAGAUGUAACGGGGCUAAACCAUGCACCGAAGCUGCGGCAGCGACGCUUAUGCGUUGUUGGGUAGGGGAGCGUUCUGUAAGCCUGUGAAGGUGUGCUGUGAGGCAUGCUGGAGGUAUCAGAAGUGCGAAUGCUGACAUAAGUAACGAUAAAGCGGGUGAAAAGCCCGCUCGCCGGAAGACCAAGGGUUCCUGUCCAACGUUAAUCGGGGCAGGGUGAGUCGAC